rnacentral:rRNA from 1 species
UACGGGGGGGGCAAGCGUUGUUCGGAAUUACUGGGCGUAAAGGGCGCGUAGGCGGAUAGUACAGUCAGGCGUGAAAUUCCUGGGCUCAACCUGGGGGCUGCGUUUGAUACGUAUUGUCUGGAGUUCGGAAGAGGGUCGUGGAAUUCCCAGUGUAGAGGUGAAAUUCGUAGAUAUUGGGAAGAACACCGGUGGCGAAGGCGGCGACCUGGUCCGAUACUGACGCUGAGGCGCGAAAGCGUGGGGAGCAAACAGG